rnacentral:tRNA from 1 species
UUUAGUAAUUUAACUUAAAAUACUGGUCUUGUAAAUCAGAAUUAAGAGAUCCCUCUUUUAAAGCU